GACGAACGCUGGCGACGUGCCUAAUACAUGCAAGUUGAGCGCUGAAGGUUGGUACUUGUACCGACUGGAUGAGCAGCGAACGGGUGAGUAACGCGUGGGGAAUAUGCCUUUGAGCGGGGGACAACAUUUGGAAACGAAUGCUAAUACCGCAUAACAACUUUAAACACAAGUUUUAAGUUUGAAAGAUGCAAUUGCAUCACUCAAAGAUGAUCCCGCGUUGUAUUAGCUAGUUGGUGAGGUAAAGGCUCACCAAGGCGAUGAUACAUAGCCGACCUGAGAGGGUGAUCGGCCACAUUGGGACUGAGACACGGCCCAAACUCCUACGGGAGGCAGCAGUAGGGAAUCUUCGGCAAUGGACGAAAGUCUGACCGAGCAACGCGGCGUGAGUGAAGAAGGUUUUCGGAUCGUAAAACUCUGUUGGUAGAGAAGAACGUUGGUGAGAGUGGAAAGCUCAUCAAGUGACGGUAACUACCCAGAAAGGGACGGCUAACUACGUGCCAGCAGCCGCCGUAA
rnacentral:rRNA from 1 species